AGCGAUUACAAUUUCAAGUGUAGGCUAGCCUACGAGCGCAGUUCAGACUGGGCAUGCUCGCACCGGUAGGGAGGGUGGAUGUGUGAGCGAGCGAGUGAGUGUAUGUCCUAGGUGCUGUAAGUUAGUGUGCAAGACAGCGUCCUCCUCUCGUCCUACCGUCCAAAGAAAUGAAUCACUGAAAAAAUGGACUGAGACGCUGUCCGUUUCAGAGCCGUAGGCUACUAUUUUCCCGGUUGGACCGCACCGAGUGCUUUAUCCGUUUUUUGGGGCUAUCCUUGUGGGAGUAGAGACGUGUAGAGACGGAUCAUCUGUAUGCGGACUGCAGCGACAACACCAGCAGCGAACUGCCUGCAGUAGUCACCGGUUUCACGCCAACCUCCCUGCAUACAGCGCACGCGGACAGAGUGGAAGUCCACGCGCCGUCUUGACAACAAAUGCUUCACAAUACCAGAAUCAAUCCAGUAUCAUGGAGCACAGUACAGUGAUGCCCAAGUGCACGGUUAUGUUCUUGCUCCCCUAUCCUCGGCCUCUGCGGACCUCCCCACCCUGAUCUCCAGUCCCAGUAUAGUGCUGAAGAUGACGGCUCCUGGGUCUCCGAGCCCUCCCCGUGAGCUCCCUGCCUCUCUGAGUGCUGUGCAACCCAUCAACAGGACAAAGACGAGACCAGACAAACUGCUCUGUUGAACCGUAAAGAGCAGAUGAGAAAGGCUACACACGCACAUGCAAGCGCACACAGAAACACACACUCACACUCGCGCGCGCACACACAUACUGCCACAGCAAAACCCCAAAAACGUGCACUGAUCAAACGAGGCCAAGGAGCGGCAUCUUGGAUCUCUACGUCUCUUAGACGUCCAUUAUUCUGUCUCUCUCUCUUUCUGUCUCUCUCUCUCUUCUGUUUACCCAUAAUGCACUGAGGUCAUGUCCCAGUCUGGUAAGGUUCUGCAUCUGUAUGUGGAGGUGAGAGCUGCCCCAGAGCAUGAUGGGAAGGAGGUGGUUUCGGGCGGAGAGCCCAUCACCGCCGAGGAGGUGGCCGCGGAGAUGCUGACGCACCUGGCCAACGUCGCUAGCGGCAACCCGCCGCCGCCGCCGCCCGGGGGCGCUCCCAAACUCCCCGCCA